rnacentral:tRNA from 1 species
UCCCUGGUGGCUCAGAGGAUAAAGUGUCUGUCUACAAUGUAGGAGACCCAGGUUCAAUCCCUGGUUUGGGAA